UAGUCUACAGUUCUCUGUAAUUUUGGAAUGUGGGUCCAAAGGAUAAGACUUU
rnacentral:tRNA from 1 species